UGUCUGCUCUGUAGCCAGUGACCUGACUUGAAAAGCUGGGUCAAUCGUUUUUUUUCUCAUAACCCUGAGGCUGUGAGGUCACGUAACAGGCCCAAGGCCCGACAGACAAGCUCGGAGAGACAAGUAGAAUGAUCAGGGAGCAGAGGUGAUGACGAGUCAGUAGUUACAGGAAACCAGUCAAUGACAGUAGAACGGAGUGGGGAUGCUGAGAAAAACAGAGAUAUCCCAAGAAAGAAGAAAUCAACCAUCUGAGAGGAAGCUCACAAAUCCCGCCUCCAUUCCUGUUCCAGUUCAAGUCAAGCCUGCUGGAACACGUUGCACUCCUGGACCGAGGUGACUUGUUUGGAUGAACCCUUGUCCCACAUGGCAGACUUUCAGCUUUUUCAGAUUUUAAUUGUACUAAGGACUUGCCAUACAUAGAUGGUAGAAAAACAAAACCCACUGCCAUGGAGUGAAUUCUGAGUCGAAAAGUGACCCUACAGGAGAGAGAAGAACUACUCUGUGGAGUUUCCAGGACUAUCAGUAUUCACAGGAGAAAACAAGCUCAUGUUUCUUCCAAAGAA